rnacentral:rRNA from 1 species
GACAGAGGGUGCAAACGUUGCUCGGAAUCACUGGGCGUAAAGGGCGUGUAGGCGGGAAGGUAAGUCGGGCGUGAAAUCCCUGAGCUCAACUCAGGAACUGCACUCGAAACUACUUUUCUUGAGUGCCGGAGAGGAAAGCGGAAUUCCUGGUGUAGAGGUGAAAUUCGUAGAUAUCAGGAAGAACACCCGUGGCGAAAGCGGCUCUCUGGAACGGUACUGACGCUGAGACGCGAAAGCGUGGGGAGCGAACAGG